CUUCUCACAUUUCAGAUCUGCCAAGGAGAAUUCGUCGCCUCCCAAAUACUUGGUCUUGGCGAGUGCGGUUUCGGAGCCAGAGACCACCGCUUAUUCCUUUCAAGAUCCGGCAACGUCCUAGCCUUUACACCGCGAGAAUGAGAGAUGAGAGAAGGGGACGGCGUCAGGAGGUGCCACCACUCGCCGAUCCCUCAGCGGCUCUAAUUUGUUCUUGAAAGCUCCGGCUCUGCUUUACCUGGUGAAGCCCAAGGCGAAGCAGAUGGUGAGGCUCCGCUCCUUCGCCGUCGUCGAGGAGGACGGCGGUGGCAUCGACGAAGACCCACGUUCCGCGCUCAGGUAAGUCACCCCACCACCGCUGGGCCUACCCCUGUUCGACGCUCCAGCGAAGUCGAAGUGUGUAUGGCGGCGGUUGUUGCUCGACGGCCGUGAAUGGAUGGAGGUGGAUUCGUGCGGCUGUGACUUACAGCAGUGACUCAUCGCGGCGCUGAGUCAGUCGACGUCGGGGCUGGUCUAGGCCAGCGGUGCUGCCGGCAUUACUGCAUAUGGUGGAUCAGCGGUUGGCGGCGAGGUUUGGCGACACGUUUCAGAUCUGCGGCGUGAAGAGCAGUAGGUGGCGGAUAGCUGAGGCACGACGACGGUCGCUCUGAGUUGUGGCACUUGAAAUUUCCUUGGUGAUUUUGGAUUUUGGAUGUCAAAUUGUUCAAAUUCGAUUUACAUUGUUCAUGCUUUGCUGAUUAUUGCGUGGGUCAGAUUCCUCAUCUCCUCAAUGCUGCUUUUGGAAUUUUAUUUCUUGUGGAGAUUUGUAGAAGUAGCAAAUUCAAUGUGUAGUGUAUUAGAUGAGCUGCGUAGCCUGCGUUAAGUUUAUCAGUUGGAUUGAAGUUGGAAAUGUGGCGUGAGCAGCAGUAGUUCCAAUCAACUGCUUCUGUCAUGUAAAAUUACUCUUGUUGAUUGCAGUUUAUUAAGUUUUGCA